rnacentral:rRNA from 1 species
GAACGAACGCUGGCGGCGUGCCUAACACAUGCAAGUCGAGCGCGAAAGUCCCUUCGGGGGUGAGUAGAGCGGCGGACGGGUGAGUAAUACAUAGGUAAUCUACCUUCGAGCUUGGGAUAACCCUGCGAAAGUGGGGCUAAUACCGGAUAAGACCACGUAAUUAUUUUACGGGGUAAAAGGUGGCUUAUUUUUUAAAUGAGCUAUCACUUGAGGAUGAGCCUGUGGCCUAUCAGCUUGUUGGUGGGGUAAGAGCCUACCAAGGCUAUGACGGGUAGCUGGUCUGAGAGGACGACUAGCCACACUGGGACUGAGACACGGCCCAGACUCCUACGGGAGGCAGCAGUGGGGAAUAUUGGGCAAUGGGCGAAAGCCUGACCCAGCGACGCCGCGUGGGCGAUGAAGGCCUUCGGGUUGUAAAGCCCUGUCAUGCGGAAAGAACGACCCUGCGACGCAUAAUCGCAGGGAGUGACGGUACCGCAGGAGGAAGCACCGGCUAACUCCGUGCCAGCAGCCGCGGUAAUACGGAGGGUGCAAGCGUUGUUCGGAAUUAUUGGGCGUAAAGGGCGCGUAGGCGGUAAUGCUAGUCAGAUGUGAAAUACUCCGGCUCAACCGGGGAACUGCAUCUGAAACUGCAUAACUAGAGUACAGAAGAGGGAAACGGAAUUCCCGGUGUAGAGGUGAAAUUCGUAGAUAUCGGGAGGAACACCAGUGGCGAAGGCGGUUUCCUGGUCUGAUACUGACGCUGAGGCGCGAAAGUGUGGGGAGCAAACAGGAUUAGAUACCCUGGUAGUCCACACUGUAAACGGUGAACACUAGGUGUGGGAGGUGUAAUACCUUCCGUGCCGUAGCUAACGCGUUAAGUGUUCCGCCUGGGAAGUACGGCCGCAAGGUUGAAACUCAAAGGAAUUGACGGGGGCCCGCACAAGCGGUGGAGCAUGUGGUUUAAUUCGACGCAACGCGAAAAACCUUACCAACCCUUGACAUGGGUAUCGCGGGACCAGAGAUGGUCCUUUCAGUUCGGCUGGAUACCACACAGGUGCUGCAUGGCUGUCGUCAGCUCGUGUCGUGAGAUGUUCGGUUAAGUCCGGCAACGAGCGCAACCCACACUUUCAGUUGCCAUCAUUCAGUUGGGCACUCUGGAAGAACUGCCGGUGAUAAGCCGGAGGAAGGUGUGGAUGACGUCAAGUCCUCAUGGCCCUUACGGGUUGGGCUACACACGUGCUACAAUGGUGGUGACAAUGAGCUAAUCUCAAAAAGCCAUCUCAGUUCGGAUUGUCGCCUGCAACUCGGCGGCAUGAAGUCGGAAUCGCUAGUAAUCGCGUAACAGCAUGACGCGGUGAAUACGUUCCCGGGCCU